UCCGAGGUAGCUCAAUGGUAGAGCAAUCGGCUGUUAACCGAUAGGUUGUGGGUUCGAGCCCCACCCUCGGAGCCA
rnacentral:tRNA from 1 species